AAAAACAUGCCCUUUGGAGUUUAAUUUAAGGUCUAUCCUGCCCACUGAUUUAAAUGGCCGCAGUAUUUUAACUGUGCAAAGGUAGCAUAAUCAUUAGUCUUUUAAUUGAAGGCUUGUAUGAAUGGUUGGACGAAAUAUUAACUGUUUCUUAAAAAUUUAUUUAGAAUUUUAUUUUUUAGUUAAAAAGCUAAAAUUUUUUUAAAAGACGAGAAGACCCUAUAGAUCUUUAUAAUUUAUUUAUUAUAGUUAUAUAGAUUAUUUAAAUUAUGAUUUUAUAAGUUAUUUUGUUGGGGUGACAUUAAAAUUUAAUAAACUUUUAAUAAAUUUUUACAUUAAUUUAUGAGUAAUUGAUCCAUUAUUAGUGAUUAUAAAAUUAAGUUACCUUAGGGAUAACAGCGUAAUUUUUUUGAAGAGUUCAUAUCGAUAAAAAAGAUUGCGACCUCGAUGUUGGAUUAAGAUAUAAUUUUGGGUGCAGCAAUUCAAUAAUUAAGUCUGUUCGACUUUUAAUUUCUUACAUGA
rnacentral:rRNA from 1 species